GCUUUGAUGGUUAAACGGUGAUUAUGUUUGCCUUCCAGGUCCCCAUCCUAAAUAUUUAACUAGUAAGCGGUAGGGGUUCAACUCCCCUUCGGCAUA